rnacentral:rRNA from 1 species
UACAGAGGGGGCAAGCGUUGUUCGGAAUUACUGGGCGUAAAGGGCGCGUAGGCGGCCUUCUAAGUCGAACGUGAAAUCCCUGGGCUCAACCCAGGAACUGCGUCCGAUACUGGAAGGCUUGAAUCCGGGAGAGGGAUGCGGAAUUCCAGGUGUAGCGGUGAAAUGCGCAGAUAUCAGGAAGAACACCCGUGGCGAAGGCGGCUCUCUGGAACGCAACUGACGCUGAGACGCGAAAGCGUGGGGAGCGAACAGG